UUCAUAUACUUGGGAAUUUCCUGGAUGAAAUCUGAACUGGUCACUGGCCACAGAGGUCAAGGAGAGACAGAAGAGAGAGAGACCAUGCUCCGUUUGAGAGGCUCCAUCAAGAGGCUCCAUUGAGAGGCAGCAGGUGGGAUAAGGCAGAAAACUUAAAAGUCUCGCCUCCAAGGGGCUGUGCAAUGAAUAGAUCUCCACAUCUGUCCACCAAAUCUUAAAAGCUUAUAGAGAGGCCUCAUUGGGGUUCAGACACCUACUCAGUUUGGUAGGUCUCAACAACGUGUCACUCUCUGAAGGCGAGUCCCUGAAACCAUCUCCUACCCGGAGCACUGGGCAGAAGGUCACUCCAACAACAGAGGAGAGAGUGUGGUCCCUCCCACUGCCCGUGUGUAGCUCGUCGGGGGAGGGCGGGGUCAGCCCACCAUCCUGUGCCCUGGAUGACCUCCUCCAAUGAGGAUAGAGGUGGAUUCUUUACCACUGAUUCACCUAGGAAGCCCAUCUUUCACAUUAGAGGAGGAAAAGGCAACCGAGAAGGCUCAUCUGCUUCUGUUCAAAAUAUUCAAAAUGGCCUAGCCUAGUUGAUGCUGGUGCACAUCCAUGGACAAGGUCUUACCAGAGUCACACCUCCUCUGUGAGCACCUGCACAGAGCCACCUGCACCCCACUCUUCACUUUCGGAAGGAGAGCCUGGAUCAUAUAGACCCUUGCCUCUCGGUUGCUGCCUGACUCCAACGGAUUGGUCAACACUUUAUCGUUGCUGUUGUUGUUCAGUCGCUCAGUCAUGUCCAACUCUUUUCGACCCCGGGGACUACAGCUGCCAGGCUCCUCUGUCCAUGGGAUUUUCCAGAAACUUGGACUCAGCUGUGUCCAGUUUGAGCUGGUUGAGACUGGCUAGGACAACGGACCCUCCCACUGGGCAUGUGGCAGUGUCCUCUCUGUGACCUUUGAUGUCAGAGGGCCAGGAGCUCCACCCUCAAAACAUGGCAACACCACAAGUUCUGGGCAUGCAGGCCUGGUUAUGUCUGCACAGAACGAUGAUGAUCACAGCUUUUCCUUAUUCCCACUUACCUUUCCCCAGGCUCCACACACAUUACAGCUCCAUCCCAUAAUUAUCCCAAGCCCCUCUCUUUCGGAGAGGUGGGUUUGGGAUCAGUUCUCCCAUCUCCUCUCUUGGCUGCAGUGUGAAUAAAGUCUUUGCUGCCAACCUCAGUGUCUUAGCCCUUGGCUUGCUGCACAUUGGGUCUUCUUCUAUAGGCAUGAGCAAUUUAGAGAUUUAAUGCCUGGACAGCUUUGAAGUGAGAGCCCUCCUUUCAUCUUGACAACAAUAAAACUAUGAUGUGAAGAGAGAGAUUUCUGGCCAUAUCCAAUUUUUUGCUAGUCUUCAGUCCUCCUUUUACUCUUGCUUGCAUUUCUGUGUUCUAAAAUUGCAGUGGAGAUUCAGAAGCAGAUCAGUGAAUUUAUCUGCAUACAACAGUGUCUCAAACAGUCAUUUUAUGGCUUUGUGAAAGCAUCAUCUGAAAACAUGGUUGUUCUUUUAAAAUAUCAUGACACAAGCUUGUGCAAAUGCAUUCAACUGUAUUUAGCUGCUGUAGAAUAAUUUAAAUUGUCUAAUCUUCCAAAUUAGAAGAGUAGUAAAGUUGGUGAGAACUAGCCACAAGGUGAGGCGUGGUGAUGAUAGUAUUUACCUGUGUCUUAUCUAUUUCUAAAAAAUGUAAUCGUUCUCUGUUGGUUGUAUAAAAUUUUAUAAGACAUAAUUGAACUCAUUUUAAAGUCAUUAUAAUAAAAUUCUAUAUUC
ensembl:lncRNA